ACAUGGGUGCCAGAUUACAUGGGUUGGUUUUAAGCAUCAAAUAUGAGGAUUUCUCCCCGUGUA
rnacentral:tRNA from 1 species